CAUGUAGUGUAAUGGAUAGCGUGUUGAACUUCCAAUCCAAAGGUCGUGGGUUCGAUUCCCAUCUAGAAUGG